GAAGUCAACUGCGCACUUAUCUUGCCCCACAUCUAAAACGGGUUUCCUUAUAAUCAUUUAAAUUUAGUAAGCACAAAACUAUAAAUACAAUUAGGCUUGGCUCUGACCUGCAUAUAUGGUGUAAAUUAAGAAAAACACAUGAUAUUUAUUGAACGAGGCGAGGAAGAGAUCACGGUAAAUUUGUUAGAGUACUAAACUAUAAUUAAUUUAUUUCUCUUAGGUAUUAUAAUAGAUAUGAUGCUUUGAAAAGUCCCGCUAACAUCAGUGUUUAAUAUUAAUAAAAAGACGAAAUUCUGAGUUAGCUUAGUAUAUAAUAGGUCUGGUAAACUUGGUGCCAGCAUCCGCGGUUAGACCAAGACGGCCAAAUCAUAUCAUAUAGGUUGAAAAGGCAGUUAGGCAAUAACACCUAGUUACACGAUUAUUUAUUAGGAAGUGAAAUUCAUACAUGAAAUAAAUAGAUCAUAGCAUACUCCCGGGCUGAACCUGCGACAGUUCUUAGGGAAACUGGGAUUAGAUACCCCACUAUUAUUUACUGUAAAUUGAUUUUUAUCUACCUGAGUACUAUGAAUAAAAAGAUUUAAAACUCAAAGAGCUUGGCGGUGCUUUAGACCACUUAGGGGAACCUGUCUCGUAAUCGAAAAUCCACGUUACACCUAACCUUUUAUUGUCAUCAGUUUGUAUACCGUCGUCGUCAGGUAACUUUAAAAAAUAUAGAAGUUAGCCAAAAAAUUUAUCUAAAUUUAGACGUCAGAUCAAGGUGCAACCUAUAAAAAGGAGAGGAUGGGUUACAAUUAAAAUUUAUAAUACGGAAGGCUAGCUGAAACCUCUAGUCCGAAGGAGGACUUAAAAGUAAAAGUUAAAUUAUAUAAAUACAUUGAAUUUGGCUCUGAAGCGUGCACACAUCGCCCGUCGCUCUCGUUGAAAAAUGAGAUAAGUCGUAACAUAGUAGGGGUAAUGGAAAUUGUUCCUAGAUGA
rnacentral:rRNA from 1 species